UGGGGAAUUUUGGACAAUGGGGGAAACCCUGAUCCAGCCAUCCCGCGUGUGCGAUGAAGGCCUUCGGGUUGUAAAGCACUUUUGGCAGGAAAGAAACGUCAUGGGUUAAUACCCCGUGAAACUGACGGUACCUGCAGAAUAAGCACCGGCUAACUACGUGCCAGCAGCCGCGGUAAUACGUAGGGUGCAAGCGUUAAUCGGAAUUACUGGGCGUAAAGCGUGCGCAGGCGGUUCGGAAAGAAAGAUGUGAAAUCCCAGAGCUCAACUUUGGAACUGCAUUUUUAACUACCGGGCUAGAGUGUGUCAGAGGGAGGUGGAAUUCCGCGUGUAGCAGUGAAAUGCGUAGAUAUGCGGAGGAACACCGAUGGCGAAGGCAGCCUCCUGGGAUAACACUGACGCUCAUGCACGAAAGCGUGGGGAGCAAAC
rnacentral:rRNA from 1 species